GCCUUUGUAAUUCAUUGGUAUAAUCCUUUCCAUCUUUUUUGGAAAGUGACCUGAGUUUGAUUCCCAGCAGAGGCA